CGCUGGCGGCGUGCCUAAUACAUGCAAGUCGAACGGUCUUUCUAUGGAAGCUUGCUUCCACUGAGAAGAUAGUGGCGAACGGGUGAGUAACACGUGGGUAACCUGCCCAUAAGAGGGGGAUAACAUCCGGAAACGGGUGCUAAUACCGCAUAGUUUUCUUGAUCGCAUGAUUGAGAAAGGAAAGACGGCCUUUGUGCUGUCGCUUAUGGAUGGACCCGCGGCGUAUUAGUUAGUUGGUGAGGUAAUGGCUCACCAAGACGAUGAUACGUAGCCGACCUGAGAGGGUGAUCGGCCACAUUGGGACUGAGACACGGCCCAAACUCCUACGGGAGGCAGCAGUAGGGAAUCUUCCGCAAUGGACGAAAGUCUGACGGAGCAACGCCGCGUGAGUGAAGAAGGUUUUCGGAAUCGUAAAACUCUGUUGUCAGAGAAGAACAAGUUGGAGAGUAACUGCUCCAGCCUUGACGGUAUCUGACCAGAAAGCCACGGCUAACUACGUGCCAGCAGCUGC
rnacentral:rRNA from 1 species